ensembl:lincRNA
CUCCGCGCCCCUGCCGCCCGCCUGCGGCCCCCGGCCCCGCAGCGACGCGGUCGCCGCCACCUCCGAGAAGGAGCUUCACCCACACCGACUGCCGUGGGCACAGUAAUUACAUAACGCCCUCCGGAUUGUGGAGAGGGAGGAGGAUUUUAGGCACGAAAACACAUGGCGAUGUCUGAGGUGAAGUUCUGUUACUCCAAAAGGCCGGUGCAAAACGCGUGGUUCCCUCCAGAUAGACGUCAGUUUCCAGAGAAGAUGACUUUCCUGCAUCCAGAUGGGAGAGAAGCAUUUCCUGCCUGUUUUCCUUCCCCAUCGUCGUUGCUGAUGCCUGAGCUUACAAAAACGACUGCAAAGCUCUUCCUGAAGAAUAACCAUUUAGGUACUAAUGUCCCCAAAAUAAAAUCCUACCGUCUCAUUUUUUGAUAGUUUCUUGCUUCUGAAUUAGCUCUUGGCUGUAGUUUUGCUUUUUAAAAACACAACCAUCGGUAUUCCCACAGCUGCUUUCCCCUGAAAUGAGUGAGAAGGGUCAUCUGAGUAUGCUCCUUCCUGAGACAGACCUCAGUCCCUAACCCUUACCCUAACCCUUUGCCAUCCUACCCAGCAUGCAUCUGUGCAUUUUCUGCGUGUUCACAUUUCCCUAACUUUGUCUUUCACAUACGGUUUCUUGGUGUUAUGUGCAGGCUUUUGUAGAAGCAUUCAGAGCUAAUGCCCCACCAAGAACUCAACUGGAGAAGAGAUCUUUGAGCUUGGUGGCUGUGUACCGACAUCUCCUUCAGAGGCUGUGGGACUGUUGGGCCUUCAGCUUCAGAGGAAUCACCAUGUUCACCUCCCCGAGCCCACGAUAGGUUGACGUUCCCUACCACAGUGUCACAUGCCCCCUAAGUUGGGGCUGACAUGCCCAGUGUAAGUGGGCAUGUCACAUGUCAGCCCAUUUUCUUUUAAAAUGAAGGAAUAACUGAAAGACACAAAAAAUAGAUGUUUUCUUUAUAAACAUCUCUUAAGGUGUUUAAAAUAUUUACCUGUAAAACUAUGAGAUAAUCCCUGUGUAUCCAGAAAGAUAAACUUCGCUCAUUACCUCUCUUUCGGAUAUCUUGCUGCUUUGAGAGACAGCCCCCCCACCCCCAUGCACCCCACUGAUUUCUUGAACAUUCUUUGGAGAUAACAGACACUGCAGAAGAAAUGAUAUUUCAGGGUAUUGGGAAAAUUUUUCACCCACAAUCUUAUGCCUGGAUUAAUUUAUUUCUCACUUGGGCAAAAAAGGAAAUGUUAUAAAGUCUAAAUGUUGAAGCAACAUAAAAAUUUCCACAGAGAAAUUUUACUUCAACUGAAGAAAAUAAUAAGAGUGAGCCACCAACUUACUUUGAUAAAAAAUGAGCUUUUAAUUUUGUCUUCCACUGCAUUAUAUAAGCCGACGCUGGCUGCAUCUAUAUGUAUGUCCUCCACGUCAGGAUUUCAAAGACAGGAGAAAGCCCAGUACACAUGGUAAUGAUAGAAAACACAGCAGGAGUGCCUUCUCUUCUCGUACGUGUGCACAAGACGAAAGCUCCUCAGAACGCAGUGGCGUUUAUUUGGUGCAGACCGCUCAUGCUAUGCGUACUGGAUGGCAUAGCUGCUUAGCUACAUUCCGCGAAAAGCAGAACAGCGCUUUAUUUCUUUAAGAUACCAAAUGCUUCACACAGAGGGUGGAGGAUUAAAUAUUUUAAGGCAAGCCCGCAGACAUCGUUCAUGCCUUUGGUCGACUGCACUAGGAUUCUUCCGUGGAUGCUGGUACACAUGUCUCUUGAAAUCCUAGACUCUGAGAUAGUCUUCAAACCACAACACAACUUCUCGUUGCCGUGUCUUGGGUUUUGUAAACAGUUUAUACAGAGAGAACAAGCAGGUCUCGGAAAUGGCCAGACGCUGAAAUAAGCCCUGGUUCUGAUGGAUGCGACCAGUCUAGUGUAUGACUGUGUUCUUGUCAUCUUCCAGAUGACGUUUCUUUCUUUAUCUUCUUCUUGCCCAUGACUGAAAUGUAAAUUAGUCAGGCCUGGCUUUUAUGCUGUGGAACUCUAUGUAACUUUGUAAUUGAAGUUCAUGAAGUUAGAACUCAAAUUAUUGAUGAGGUCGAGUUAUGUCAUUUUGAAACUGUAAUGUCUGGCCUGGAGGCGACCUCCGGAAAAAGCUCAGGGAAGCCCACAUUUUCUGCAAAUGUUAAUAUCACAGUCGACUUAGAUGCCCUCUGCAGAACUCACUGGCCCUGACGUGAACUUACUCUUCUUCUGAGAAAUUAAAAAGGACUCACAAUCAAGUAUAAGUUGUAUCUGUUGAUUUCUUCAUUAAUGAGAAAUGAAUAUCUCCUUCUGAAACAAUCUUUAGCCAGCUGCAACCAGACAAGCUACCGUAGCUGUUGUGGCUGAAUCUACUGUUUGAGGGAUGUUUCUUUUUGUUUCCAAAUUAUCUUGCAGUUAAAGUUCAGGAUUCGUGAUAUUUAUUAUCUGUGCUUUUUUCAUUAAAAGUCCUGUGGGUUUGAUUAGACAUGAAUAACUACCGUCUACAUCUAUUUUUGUGCAACAGAUAAUUAUUUGGGGAAAGAAAGCAAAACUACAAGAAAAGCAGCAAUUUUUGGUCGAGUCUAUAAUUUCCAAGCUUUUUCAUGCUUCUGUGCCUAUAUUUACCACUUGAAUGAAAGUAAAUAAUAACUUUUAAUAAUGCUUUUGGAAAACUCCUUUAAGAAACAAAGUAAUUUAUAAAUAUUGCACUAGCCUUAUAUUUAAUAUGUAUAUUUUCCAAUUAAGGGUGGUUUUGAGUACUAUAGAUGUGGGCUCAAGUUUCUUCUCAGCAUUUAUUGUCUGUUACGGCUCUGUCUAGACAUCUCCUCAAAACCUCAUGUGGUCACAGAAGGGGCUUUUCAGUGGUGGCUGGACCUAGGGUGUGUGGUGCUGGGCUCAAGAGUGUGUGAUUAGUAAACCAGCCCACUGAUUGGUUUGGCGUGGUUUUGAGCAUAGGCAAUGGGUAGGUGUGUGAGUGCUGCCUGCCCUAAGGGUUGAAGCCUGGACAGAAUAAAAGGGAGAGAAAGAGGGCUGCUGCUGUUGCUUGCUGUUUCUUUGCUGCUUUGCUGCCUUCUGCCCACCAUGAACUGUUUCUCCUCUGUGAUGCCCCUCUGCCAUGCCACCCUGCCUUGGAGCCAGCCAACUAUGGACUGAACGUCUGCAAACCAUGAGCCAAAAUAAACCUUUCCUUCAACUUUGGGUGUGGAGUGUUUAGUCUCAGCAAUGACAGAAGUAACUAAGGCCUUACCUGCAUGUCCUAAGCCAGUGGCUUCAGCCCGCUAGACCUCACCCAGCUUCCCGGUAAGUUUGUGUUUUGUAUUUGGCACAGGUAGAGCAAAACAACACAAGCACAUGGCCUAGCACAGCAUCAGGUACACAGUAAGUGCUUGUAAAACACUUACAUCACUUAUCCCUGCCUUUGAUUCAGAUGGCAAUGGAAAGAGUAGCUCAUUAGACCUCAGAGUGAUCUGUUCAGGAGCAAUGCACAGUAAUAUUCUGAGCCUCCCAGAGGAAAACUGUGGUAAAUUACUGCAUUGGUAGGGAAGAAUUAAGAGCUGGUACAUGGGGGAAAAAAAUUGAGAUACUUCAAAACAAA